GACGAACGCUGGCGGCGUGCCUAAUACAUGCAAGUCGAGCGCAGGAAAUCGACGGAACCCUUCGGGGGGAAGUCGACGGAAUGAGCGGCGGACGGGUGAGUAACACGUAAAGAACCUGCCCUCAGGUCUGGGAUAACCACGAGAAAUCGGGGCUAAUACCGGAUGGGUCAUCGGACCGCAUGGUCCGAGGAUGAAACGCGCUCCGGCGUCGCCUGGGGAUGGCUUUGCGGUGCAUUAGCUAGUUGGUGGGGUAAUGGCCCACCAAGGCGACGAUUCAUAGCCGAGCUGAGAGGGUGAUCGGCCACACUGGGACUGAGACAAGGCCCAGACUCCUCCGGUGGGCAGCAGUAGGGAAGCUUCCACAAGGGACGAAAGGCUGAUGGAGCAACGCCGCGUGAACGAUGAAGGCCUUCGGGUCGUAAAGUUCUGUUGUAAGGGAAGAACAAGUGCCGCAGGCAAUGGCGGCACCUUGACGGUACCUUGCGAGAAAGCCACGGCUAACUACGUGCCAGCCGCCGCGGUAAGAC
rnacentral:rRNA from 1 species